rnacentral:sRNA from 1 species
CCAAUAAGUUGCCUUAGAAUAAAUAUAAUGUACUUAUAUACGUUAUAAGGUAUUAUCUUUAUAUCUGUAUAUAUCUUUAUAUCUUUAUAAUGUAUUAAGUGCUUCGUUUGCAUACCUAUUUUACAUGCCUAUGGAUCUGGUCCUAUAUAAGUCUCCUGGGGGAAAAGAGGUCAUGCGAUGAAAGAAUUUAAGAGCCCCACUCUGACAUGCUGCAGAUCCUGCUGGCUUCUACCACGCUUGCGGAGGUGGCUUUGAACCAGCUUGAUCAAACUCCAAGCACCUGCGUGGGGUGAAAACUCACCACCCAGGGGAGAAAGAAGCCGGAGCGGGGGAAAACAGGCAGCACAGAAUGAAGAAAGCCAGGAAUAUUACUGCAACAACACCACCCUGCUGAAUGGCAGCGAGGAAGAGCCAAGCCUUCAGUUAGAACUACAGUUUCUCUGGGGAGCGGCAAGGGGUAGCAGAGAACUGUUUGGUCAGGACCAGGUGUCAACUGCCCAGCUGGCUCUGGCCCUCUCAUCUCAUGCCACCCGUGCAAGCCAAUCAUCUGUGUGCCUUUCCAUUCCUUCCUCCAGAGGCAGAGGGGUGACAAAGUAUCUGGGUUCAGUGGACAGACAGGGAAUGGUACUGAGUGUCUAGCCCACAACUUUAAUUUCUCCAAGCUGCAGUCCCCUUACCUGCAAGGCAGGAAGCAUGGAACUGUUUCCUGCUGGUGGCCAUGAGAGCAGGAGCUUCUUAAUGGAGACUAGCAGUUGGUACAACACAGAGGGAUUCUCUGCUGUAGGUAAUGAACCCUCCGGCGCUGGAGGUAUGCAAGGCUUGACUUUUUGUGGUGCUCCAAGCCCUGAACGGGGAGAGUGAGGACUAGUCUGGUCAUCCUGAAUUAAUCCCAUCAGUAGCAGAGGGGAGGUUUUGAUUUUGUUAAACAGAGUCUGGGAUUUCAUGUGUCAGCGUGCUGCCUGGCAAUUAAAAUCAGGAGAGUUUAAUCUGAAGAGAGUUCCAGCUCUGUUGUUUGCCCUUUUAAUCUCGUCUGUUACCAUGGGAACGGAAGAGAUUGCAAUCACCACUGUUUGUAUUGUGAGCCUGCUCCCAUCAAUGUGGCUUUUGAAAAACAAGAAAUAAAAAUCCUGACUUCUGCUCA